CUGACUUAAUGGAGCCAAACCCACCUGGCUCUGCCAGAAAGUCCCCCUGGAUAUCUCAGUCCAGGGGAAGGCUUUGUGCCUCUGCAACCAGCACCCCUUGGGCUGGAGGCAUCAGCCCCCCGACUCCUCUCUCCCUGUAUACUGGAAGGGAUGGUGCAAAACUCAGCUCUGGAAAAUCUCUGAAAACAUCUGAAGUCAAAGAGCCUGAUUUCCCACGGAAAGGCCCCAUGUUUACAGUUCUGGGGUUUCCCAGCAAAGAGUAACACUCCAUUUGGAAGCUCAUGUGGCCAAAGAAUGUCUCUGGAUCAGAGAAAGGCAACACACCACCCAAGAACACAGCUCUGUGGGGGGUCCCAGGAACAGGGUUGAAACAGCAAAGGGA
rnacentral:lncRNA from 1 species